rnacentral:tRNA from 1 species
AACUAUAACCUUCCUAGAAUA